rnacentral:rRNA from 1 species
AUUGAACGCUGGCGGCAUGCUUUACACAUGCAAGUCGAACGGUAACAGGCCUUCGGGUGCUGACGAGUGGCGAACGGGUGAGUAAUGCAUCGGAACGUACCCAGAGGUGGGGGAUAACGCAGCGAAAGCUGUGCUAAUACCGCAUGUGAUCUGAGGAUGAAAGCGGGGGACCGAGCAGCAAUGUUUGGCCUCGCGCCUUUGGAGCGGCCGAUGUCGGAUUAGCUAGUUGGUGGGGUAAAGGCCUACCAAGGCGACGAUCCGUAGCUGGUCUGAGAGGACGACCAGCCACACUGGGACUGAGACACGGCCCAGACUCCUACGGGAGGCAGCAGUGGGAAAUUUUGGACAAUGGGCGCAAGCCUGAUCCAGCAAUGCCGCGUGCGGGAAGAAGGCCUUCGGGUUGUAAACCGCUUUUGACAGGAACGAAACGGUGUCCGCUAAUACCGGGCGCUAAUGACGGUACCUGCAGAAUAAGCACCGGCUAACUACGUG